rnacentral:rRNA from 1 species
AUUGAACGCUGUCGGCAGGCCUAACACAUGCAAGUCGAGCGGUUGACGGGAGCUUGCUCCUUGAUUCAGCGGCGGACGGGUGAGUAAUGCCUAGGAAUCUGCCUGGUAGUGGGGGACAACGUUUCGAAAGGAACGCUAAUACCGCAUACGUCCUACGGGAGAAAGCAGGGGACCUUCGGGCCUUGCGCUAUCACAUGAGCCUAGGUCGGAUUAGCGAGUUGGUGGGGUAAUGGCUCACCAAGGCGUCGAUCCGUAACUGGUCUGAGAGGAUGAUCAGUCACACUGAAACUGAGACACGGUGCAGACUAGUACGGGAGGCAGCAGUGGGGAAUAUUGGACAAUGGGCGAAAGCCUGAUCCAGCCAUACCGCGUGUGUGAAGAAGGUCUUCGGAUUGUAAAGCACUUUAAGUUGGGAGGAAGGGCAGUAAGUUAAUACCUUGCUGUUUUGACGUUACCGACAGAAUAAGCACCGGCUAACUCUGUGCCAGCCGCCGCCGUAAGAC